AAAGCAAUAAAAGAAAACAAAAGCAUCUGUAAACACGAAAACUUCCAGAAGUAAAAUUAGGAAAGUUAGCUUUGACUUUGGUUUCCUCUUCCCAUGGGUGAAUCUGUAAGCUUGUAGCAUGUUUCCUCUUGAUCUUCUUCAUCUGGGCUUUAAGAUCUGUACUAUUGCGGUCCAAAUUGAGCUGAGUUUUGUCUUCCAUCACAA